rnacentral:rRNA from 1 species
CCUACGGGGGGCAGCAGUGGGGAAUAUUGGACAAUGGGGGCAACCCUGAUCCAGCCAUGCCGCGUGUGUGAAGAAGGCCCUCGGGUUGUAAAGCACUUUCAGUGAGGAAGAACGCCUGGUGGUUAAUACCCAUCAGGAAAGACAUCACUCACAGAAGAAGCACCGGCUAACUCCGUGCCAGCAGCCGCGGUAAUACGGAGGGUGCGAGCGUUAAUCGGAAUUACUGGGCGUAAAGCGCGCGUAGGUGGCUUGAUAAGCCGGUUGUGAAAGCCCCGGGCUCAACCUGGGAACGGCAUCCGGAACUGUCAAGCUAGAGUGCAGGAGAGGAAGGUAGAAUUCCCGGUGUAGCGGUGAAAUGCGUAGAAAUCGGGAGGAAUACCAGUGGCGAAGGCGGCCUUCUGGACUGACACUGACACUGAGGUGCGAAAGCGUGGGUAGCAAACAGGAUUAGAUACCCCAGUAGUC